CUCCAAUGUUGUCUCAAGCUGCCAUGAGUUUAAUGGAUCAAACACAUGGACCACAUGAGUAAACAUAUUGAAGACAUACAGAAUGUAAUACCCCUCUACAGAUCUGUCUGGAACCAUUAUAUGCACACAACAAUUAACUUCAUAAGAUGAUUUAAUUGGUAAACAAUAUACAUUAUGUGAUCUACUUGCUAAGCCCCUUACCAUAUUGCAAGUCCUCAAAUCAAAUUUUCCGUUCAAACCAACCAAACUUGCUUUUAUUUCAUCAUUAAUCUGUACGGCUGCACCAUUAAGCACUCUCUCCUGGAAACAUAUUACCACUACCAAAUUAGAAAUCUUAACUACGCGCAAAUUGUUUUCUUAUAUACUUAUUUUCCUACAAUGAACUAACCGCCCAGCUUAGAUGAAGAACCUUCCUCAGCCUCAAAAUUGACCUAGGAGCAUAUAACUUCUUAUCCUGACAAUACACAAGCCUACGGAAAAUAUCAAAUUGUCUUGCACCAACUUCUCCUCCAGGUUUCAUCAUUGCAUAUAUCUCAGUUCCAGUAAUUUGCAGCACAACAGGUAUAGGAUGCUCAAUCCAGAUCCUAAUUGAAUGAACUUAAUCAGUCAAAUUUAUAUUAGGGAAGAAAAAUGAACUAAUUUUUAUAGGAUUUAGAUUAUAUUCACCUCCUUAGUUCCAUUCCCUUUGUAUUCUCCAGCUGCUCUGUAGA
rnacentral:lncRNA from 1 species